rnacentral:lncRNA from 1 species
GGCAGCAUACGCCUGUACUCCCAGCUGCUCAGGAGGCUGAGGCAGGAGAAUUGCUUGAACCCAGGAGCCCAGGAGGCGGAGGUAGCAGUGAGCCAGCAUCCUGCCACUGCACUCCAGCCUGGGCCACAGAGCGAGACUCCGUCUCCAAAAAAAAAAAAAGAAAGAAAAUAGUGUUUCACUGAGUUACACAGCUCUUCCAAAUGUUGACAUAUUUUGUAAUAUUAAAUCAAUGUUUAAAAAAUCACAUUCAUUAAUAUCACCACCAAUCUCAUUAGAAAAGUCUUUAAAUAUUGGGAAGCUUCAAGUUCAAAACUCUGCCAAAAUUCUUA